UCCGGUUUGUCACCGGCAGUCUCCCUAGAGUUCCCGGCCGAACCGCUGGCAACUAGGGACAAGGGUUGCGCUCGUUGCGGGACUUAACCCAACAUCUCACGACACGAGCUGACGACAACCAUGCACCACCUGUAAACCGACCGCAAGCGGGGCACCUGUUUCCAGGCGUUUCCGGUUCAUUUCGAGCCCAGGUAAGGUUCUUCGCGUUGCAUCGAAUUAAUCCACAUGCUCCGCCGCUUGUGCGGGCCCCCGUCAAUUCCUUUGAGUUUUAGCCUUGCGGCCGUACUCCCCAGGCGGGGCGCUUAAUGCGUUAGCUACGGCACGGAUCCCGUGGAAGGAAACCCACACCUAGCGCCCACCGUUUACGGCGUGGACUAC
rnacentral:misc_RNA from 1 species